rnacentral:rRNA from 1 species
GACGAACGCUGGCGGCGUGCUUAACACAUGCAAGUCGAACGGAAAGGCCCUUCGGGGUCCUCGAGUGGCGAACGGGCGAGUAACACGGGGGUAAUUUGCUCUGCACCUUGGGAUAAGCCUGGGAAACCGGGACAAAUAACGAAAUGGACCACAGGACACUUAUCCUGAGGUGGCAAGCUUUAGAGGCGUGGGCUGGGUCCGCGGCCUAUCAGCUCGUUGGUGGGGUGAUGGCUUACCAAGGCGACGACGGCUAGCCGGCCUGAGAGGGUGUCCGGGCACACUGGGACGGAGCUACGUCCCAGGCGCCUACGGGAGGCGGCAUUGGGGACUAUUGGAGAAUGGGCGACAGCGUGAUGCAGCGUCGCCGCGGGAGGGAUGACGGCCUUCGAGUUGUGUUCCUCGUGCACCAUCGACGAAGGUCCGGGUUUUCUCAGGCUGACGGUAGGUAGAGAAGAAGCACCGGCCAACUACGUG